UACGUAGGGUGCGAGCGUUGUCCGGAAUUACUGGGCGUAAAGCGCACGUAGGCGGCUUUCUAAGUCGGGGGUGAAAUCCUGGAGCUCAACUCCAGAACUGCCUUCGAUACUGGAGAGCUCGAGUCCGGGAGAGGUGAGUGGAACUGCGAGUGUAGAGGUGAAAUUCGGUAGAAUAUUCGCAAGAACACCUAGUGGCGAAGGCG
rnacentral:rRNA from 1 species